CCUCGUUGAUCCUGCCAGUAGUCAUAUGCUUGUCUCAAAGAUUAAGCCAUGCAUGUCUAAGUAUGAACUAAUUCAGACUGUGAAACUGCGGAUGGCUCAUUAAAUCAGUUAUAUUUUUUUAUGGUACCAUACUACUCGGAUAACCCUAUUAAUUCUAGAGCUAAUACGUGCACCAAGUCCUGACUCAUUGGAAGGGAUGCAUUUUUUAGAUAAAAGGCCGGUGCGGGCUUGCCCACUUCUCUGGUGAGUCAUGAUAACUCGACGAAUCGCACAACCCUUGUGCUGGCAAUGCUUCAUUCAAAUUUCUGCCCUAUCAACUUUCGAUGGUAGGAUAGAGGCCUACCAUGGGGGUGACGGGUGACAAAGAAUUAGGGUUUUAUUCCGGAGAGGGAGCCUGAGAAACGACUACCACAUCCAAGGAAGGUAGCAGGCGUGAAAAUUACCCAAUGUUGACAUGGGGAGGUAGUGACAAUAAAUAACAAUACUGGGCUCAUCGAGUCUGGUAAUUGGAAUGAGUACAAUCUAAAUCCCUUAACAAGGAUCCAUUGGAGGGAAAGUCUAGUGCCACCAACUAUGGUAAUUCCAGCUCCAAUAGCGUAUAUUUAAGUUGUUGUAGUUAAAAAGCUUGUAGUUGGAUCUUGGGUCGUAAAGGUCGAUCCGCCUACUCGGUGUGCACCUGCCCUUCCAUCCCUUUUGUCGGCGGGGUGCUCCUUGCCUUAAUUGGCUGGGUCAUGGCUCUGGCGCUGUUACUUUGAAAAAUUUAGAGUGCUCAAAGCAAGCUUAUGCUCUGAAUACAUUAGCAUGGAGUAAUGUGAUAGGAGUCUUGUCUUAUUGUCUUGGCCUUCAGGAUUAGAGUAAUGAUUAAUAGGGACUGUUAAGGGCAUUCAUAUUUCAUUGUCAGAGGUGAAAUUCUUGGAUUUAUGAAAGAAGGACCACUGCGAAAGCAUUUUCCAAGGAUGUUUUCAUUAAUCAAGAACAAAAGUUGGGGGCUCAAAGACGAUCAGAUACCGUCCUAGUCUCAACCAUAAACGAUGCCGACCAAGGAUUGGCAGAUGUUUCUCUAAGGAGUCUGCCAGCACCUUCUGAGAAAUCAAAGUGUUUGGGUUCCGGGGGGAGUAUGGUCGCAAGGCUAAAACUUAAAGGAAUUGAUAGAAGGGAACCACUAGGAGUGGAGCCUGCGGCUUAAUUUGACUCAACACGGGGAAACUUACCAAGUCCAGACAUAGUAAGGAUUAACAGAUUGAAAGCUCUUUCUUGAUUCUAUGUGUGGUGGUGCAUGGCCGUUCUUAGUUGGUGGAGUGAUUUGUCUGGUUAAUUCUGAUAACGAAUGAGACCUCAUCCUGCUAACUAGAUACGCGGAGGUUCCCCUUCAUGGCUAGCUUCUGAGAGGGACUAUUUCUGUUUAGGCCAUGGAAGUUUGAGGCAAUAACAGGUCUGUGAUGCCCUUAGAUGUUCUAGGCCACACGUGCUUUACAUUGAUGUAGCCAAUGAGUUUUUCUUCGUGGUUCAAGAGGAUCCUGAAAUCUUCUCAAAUUGCAUCUUGAUAGGGAUAGACCAUUGCAAUUAUUGGUCUUCAAUGAGGAAUUCCUAGUAAGCGCAUGUCAUCAACUCGUGUUGAAUACGUUCCUGCCUUUGUACACAUCGCACUCCUACCGAUUGAAUGAUCUGGUGAAGUGUUCGGAUUGCGUCGAUGAUGGUGGUUCACCCCCGUCAACAUCAUGAGAAGUUCAUUGAACGUUAUCAUUUAGAGGAAGGAGAAGUUGUAAUAAGGUUACCGUAGGUGAACCUGCGGUAG
rnacentral:rRNA from 1 species